rnacentral:rRNA from 1 species
GUCGUGGGGGAUAACGUAGGGAAACUUACGCUAAUACCGCAUGCGCCCUUCGGGGGAAAGCCGGGACUUCGGGCCUGGCGCGAUUGGAUGAGCCCAUGUCGGAUUAGCUAGUUGGCGAGGUAAAGGCUCACCAAGGCGACGAUCCGUAGCUGGUCUGAGAGGAUGAUCAGCCACACUGGAACUGAGACACGGUCCAGACUCCUACGGGAGGCAGCAGUAGGGAAUAUUGGACAAUGGGCGCAAGCCUGAUCCAGCCAUGCCGCGUGAGUGAAGAAGGCCCUCGGGUUGUAAAGCUCUUUUGUCCGGAAAGAAAAGCAUCGGGUUAAUACCCCGGUGUUCUGACGGUACCGGAAGAAUAAGCACCGGCUAACUUCGUGCCAGCAGCCGCGGUAAUACGAAGGGUGCAAGCGUUACUCGGAAUUACUGGGCGUAAAGCGUGCGUAGGUGGUUCGUUAAGUCCGAUGUGAAAGCCUGGGCUCAACCUGGGAAUGGCAUUGGAUACUGGCGGGCUAGAGUGCGGUAGAGGAUAGUGGAAUUCCUGGUGUAGCAGUGAAAUGCGUAGAGAUCAGGAGGAACAUCCGUGGCGAAGGCGACUGUCUGGACCAGCACUGACACUGAGGCACGAAAGCGUGGGGAGCAAACAGGAUUAGAUACCUGGUAGUCCACGCCCUAAACGAUGCGAACUGGAUGUUGGGCUC